UUUUAAUAAAGGAAAAAUAAAAAUUAAUGGAAAGAUGAAGCAGAAUUAACAAGGUGGACUCACAGAGAGUUAAACAACUGAGUUUUUGGUUCCUUAUCCCUGUACCUGACAGCUCUUCCUUCAUGCUUUCUCUUAUCUCCCUCCUUGAGGACAAGUCUAUUCUGCUGUCUUCUAACCGGUGUUUUCUUUGCAUGAUUUUUUGUGGGGUGUUUAUUAUUUUUUGCCUGUCCGGCAACUUUUGUUUUCAGGAACUGUCUCCACUCUUGCUCCAAACCUGGUAACACUGCCAUUCCCUCUGUGCCACAUGUGAGGGACCCAGGCCCAGGAUUCUAGUCUAGGUACCUCACCCCCUGGAAACAGUGUUUGGCUCAGGGAUCGGCUCACGACGCAAACAGAACCAAGGAGAGUGCUUUUGAGUGGAAAAAAAAGGAGUGCCCCAAUAGGGCUGGUAAGCCCAAGGGCCGUCUGAACCUGGGGGUCUUCACCUUGGAGAAAGCCUGUCUGUUAUGCCUGAAGUCAUCUCAGAAGUGGUACCACAGAGGAGUUGACUAGCUUUGCUUAUGCUCUCAAGUUGAUCCAUACAGUGCCAGAUUAUACCCUAUCAUAAGAGAUAGGGUCCCCUGAACACAAGAAGUCAUCUCCCCUUCUGGGUAGGACUUUGCACCACAUUCUCUUCCCUCUGCCUGGAACAUACCUCCCAACUGCUUUACUCUCUUAAAUCUCACUCAUUACCAUCUAAAACCAUUUUCCUUUCUUAUUGCCUGUUUGCUGUCAUCUCCCACAGGACUGUGAACUCAAGAAAGCAGGAAGUAUGCCUCCCUUAUUCAUCACUGGGUCCCCAGUGCUUAGAACAGUGCCUGGCACAGAGACGGGGCUCUGUAAAGAUCUGCUGAAUGAACACUUUAUCCUCUUACUUCUUAUCCUUCAAGCCUCAGAUGUUCCCCCAGGAUGCCUUCUUCGUUUCCCCAGACUAGUUCAAGCUGCACCUCCGACGUGCUCCCACAGCCCCUGAGCUGCCUCCCUGCAGACGCCAUACCUGCCGUGGCUGCUUGUUUGCUGAGUAGCCUCUCCCACUGAACCCUGGGCAACUUGAGAUAAAUGAAGAUUCUGAGGCCAAAGGAGAAUUGCAGGGAAGAUAAAUCCUGAAAACUUUUCAAACAUUUCAGAAUGCACACUCCCUUUGAAGAGUAAAAAA
rnacentral:lncRNA from 1 species